GGGGACGUACUGGCAUCGACAGGAAAUGUAACUGGUUAGUAAGCAUGUCGGAGCAUAAUAAUUCACUCCGUUAACAAAUGAUUAUUAACAAUUUUAUAUGGCAACACACGUUUUGCCAUGGCUGCCUAAUUCUAGGAAUUAGCGCACCAUUGUGCCGCUCGCUUGAUGUCUGAUACACAGCGAUGCCGCAUAUCAAACAACCCUCAGGCUGGCAGUUUGACCCGCUCCGAUCAAACUGUGAGAUUUAGGAGAUAAGGGUGAUGAUUAGGAGGGUUUCCAAUCCGACCACCACCACGAAAAUUUAACUGGGAACUAAGCAUGUAGAAGGCUUUCGAGUGCUUUCACUGGACCCGAGUUCGACUCUCGGCGUCUCCACAA
rnacentral:tmRNA from 1 species